rnacentral:rRNA from 1 species
GAUGAACGCUGGCGGCGUGCUUAACACAUGCAAGUCGAACGAUGAACCGGGUGCUUGCACUCGGGGAUUAGUGGCGAACGGGUGAGUAACACGUGAGCAACCUGCCCCUGACUCUGGGAUAAGCGCUGGAAACGGCGUCUAAUACUGGAUAUGUCCCGUCACCGCAUGGUGUGCGGGUGGAAAGAUUUUUCGGUUGGGGAUGGGCUCGCGGCCUAUCAGCUUGUUGGUGAGGUAAUGGCUCACCAAGUCGUCGACGGGUAGCCGGCCUGAGAGGGUGACCGGCCAAACUGGGACUGAGACACGGCCCAGACGCCUACGGGAGGCAGCAGUGGGGAAUAUUGCACGAUGGGCGGAAGCCUGAUGCAGCAACGCCGAGUGAGGGAUGACGGCCUUCGGGUUGUAAACCUCUUUUAGCAGGGAAGAAGCGAGAGUGACGGUACCUGCAGAAAAAGCACCGGCUAACUACGUGCCAGCCGCCGCGGUAA